CUGUGUCUUGUCUUCCUUGUCUUGCCCAGUGCUGCCCCCUGCCCCUGCCCCAACCCUUCAUUAUUAUUGUUUUUGACUGUGUGUCUUCAUCCUUGGUUUUCAGCUAACUUUCUUGAGGCUCUGGCCCUCCACAUUCUUUCCCAAAGAGCAGUGUUAUCAGGAUUAUCAGGAUUAUGAAGAGUGACAAGAGGAGGAGUCUGACAUUGAGGAAGUGACUAUCAAUGAAGAGAGCAGAGGAAAAGGCAGACCUUUCAUUCCUGGUGCCCACUGUCUAGGAGGAAGCCACAUCAGGAGGAGGGAAACCUGAAGUUGAAGUAUGGGGUACCACAGUAACUCAUGUACAAAGUUAGGGAGAAGACAGUGUUGACAUGUACUAAAUUCUCAGGUUAAAAGGGUAACGUGGCUAAGUAGAUUGAAGCUAUUCAAAAUUAAUUAACACCUUUUAUGUCUCCUCAUUACAGAAAGUAUUUGCCUCUGAGACUUUUUGGAAAGGAUCAGUUCCUUCCAAGACUGCUGCUACUCCUUCUCUUUCUCCUUUUUCUCCUUGUUAUACUGGGGAUUGAAGACUGCAUCUUCUUAAAAGCAGAAACAAUGGCAACUGGAAAUCCAUUUUGUCAUAGGUUUAAUAAGUCAAUCAUCUAGACUUUCAGUCUGUGUGAAAGCAAAUGUACUGAUAGACUGAAUAAUUUGUGUCUUACCAUCUCCCCAUGGUAACAACACCCUCCUUGUGAAUAAAUAAUAAUC
rnacentral:lncRNA from 1 species